AUGUUUUUCUGUAGCUUAGAGAAGGGAGAGGUCUGUAUGCUUCAGAGGAGCUGCAAAAAGCCUGGGCUUGAGCUGGACCUUGAAUAUCAGGAGAAUUUAAAAAAUAGAGACAGAGGCACAGUUUUUGCUGGUGAAGGAAAUGAGAAGAACAGAAGCAUCAAAAGAAGAAAAGCAGGCAUCAGAAGGAGCUCUUGCCUCCCAGCUGAAACGGCCGCCAUGGAGCAACAGGUCCCUCCCUCAGGCCAGGAUGUCCUGCUUGGAGCCCAUUUCCUGUUAAGCAGAGAGGUCAUGAUAUGGUCCUGCUGAGAAUCCCUGGGCUUCCCGGUUUGCUCCGAGCAGACUCCCUUGGCAGGUGGCCUCUUGACCCUUGUUCAGUGACUAGGCUUUACCACAGAUAACCAGGUUUCCAGGAUGAUGAACUCCUGCCCUUACAUUUCCAAGUAUGUCCUUCCCCCUCUACACAUACACCCCUCCACCUCUGUCCCCACUGCUGCGCUCCUCCACUUUGUUAGGGUUCCGGUUGCUGACCAGAACACCAGGGCUCACUGGUGUAAGACUGUUUACUGACUUUGCCACACUCUUGGGUGUAGUCAGCCUUCCUACCCUCUACUGCCCACAUCCAGAGCCUUGUCUGUCCUGGUGGGCAAGUUUCAUGCCAGGACCUGGCUCCCUCUAGCCCCUCCCUGCCUUCCCAUUCCAAAAAUAUGACACAUUGCAAUGACCCUGAAUGCGUAACAGGCUGAGAGAACAGACGCCUCUGCCUGGAGCAAGAAUGUGGCAUUCUCAUCCCCCUCACAACCCCCAUCCCUGGGAAAACCCAACAAGAUGAGGCUUGGCCUUGUUUGGGUUGCAGCCAGUUUUACCUAUUCCACAGAGGAAAUUGCUAUUUUGGACCUAACUCCAACAAGGUUGAGGCGAUUGGUUGAUAGGAAGUCUCAGAUAUUGUGUUGACUGAAAAAUGGGCACCGUUCAGUCAAGAGAGGCUGAUAGGGGAGUGAAAGGAGCUUCAGCUUUGUGCUCAGAAUGACCUUAAGUUCAGUUCCCACCUUGGUGUGAACUUGGGCAAGUCACUUAACCUUUGUGAGAUCCAAUCUCCCCUUUCAUGUUACGGGGCUAAUAAUCCUCCCUAUUUUGUAGGGUUAUUAUAGGAUGAAAUGUGGACUCACCGACAGCGUUAAGCAUGUACUGGGAACACAACCAAUGCUCAGCUGAAUACCCUCUUGACCAGCCUACAGUAUGGGUUUAAUAAAUGUUAGUUUAAAGAGUCA
rnacentral:lncRNA from 1 species